GGAGGGAUGGCUGAGUGGCUGAAGGCAUUGGUUUGCUAAAUCAACGUAUAAUUCUCAUUAUACCAUGGGUUCAAAUCCCAUUUCCUCCG
rnacentral:tRNA from 1 species